ACACGACUACAUUAGAUACCCGUGUAGUCCUGGCCGUAAACGAUGUGGACUUGGUGUUGGGAUGGCUCCGAGCUGCCCCAGUGCCGAAGGGAAGCUGUUAAGUCCACCACCUGGGAAGUACGGUCGCAAGGCUGAACUUAAAGGAAUUGGCGGGGGAGCACCACAACAGGUGGAGCCUGCGGUUUAAUUGGAUUCAACGCCGGACAUCUCACCGGAUAAGACAGCUGAAUGAUUGUCAAUCUGAAGGUUUUACAUGACUAGCUG
rnacentral:rRNA from 1 species